UGGGCCUACGGGAGGCAGCAGUGGGGAAUAUUGCGCAAUGGGGGAAACCCUGACGCAGCAACGCCGCGUGAGCGAUGAAGGUUUUCGGAUUGUAAAGCUCUGUCUUUGGGGAAGAUAAUGACGGUACCCAAGGAGGAAGCCCCGGCUAACUACGUGCCAGCAGCCGCGGUAAUACGUAGGGGGCAAGCGUUGUCCGGAUUCACUGGGCGUAAAGAGCACGUAGGCGGUUAUUUAAGUCAGGUGUGAAAGUUUUCGGCUCAACCGGAAAAGUGCACUUGAAACUGGAUAACUUGAGAAUCGGAGAG
rnacentral:rRNA from 1 species